AUGCAUCCACUGAUAGACCUGAAGCAGGCUGCAUUGGCUUCUAGGUUUGCAAAGAGAUGCUAAACUAAACUUUCCUCUUGCUUUCUGACUGCUCUUCUUACUUGGCAGCCCAGCUUGAAUUGGGGAAUACAUAA